rnacentral:misc_RNA from 1 species
GAUGAAGAACGCAGCGAAAUGCGAUAAGUAAUGUGAAUUGCAGAAUUCAGUGAAUCAUCGAAUCUUUGAACGCACAUUGCGCCCCUUGGUAUUCCGAGGGGCAUGCCUGUUCGAGCGUCAUUAUAACCCCUCAAGCUCAGCUUGGUGUUGGGGCCUGCUGCACUGGCAGCCCUUAAAAUCAGUGGCGGCGCCAUCUGGCUCUAAGCGUAGUAAUUCUUCUCGCUAUGGAGUCCUGGUGGAUGCUUGCCAUCAACCCCCAAUUUUUCUAUGGUUGACCUCGGAUCAGGUAGGGAUACCCGCUGAACUUAAGCAUAUCAGCGGAGGA